rnacentral:rRNA from 1 species
UACUCGAGUGGCGAACGGGUGAGUAACACGUGGGUGAUCUGCCCUGCACUUCGGGAUAAGCUUGGGAAACUGGGUCUAAUACCGGAUAGGACCGCACUUUAGUGUGUGUGGUGGAAAGUUUUUUCGGUGUAGGAUUAGCUCGCGGCCUAUCAGCUUGUUGGUGGGGUAAUGGCCUACCAAGGCGGCGACGGGUAGCCGGCCUGAGAGGGUGUACGGCCACAUUGGGACUGAGAUACGGCCCAG